GAAAAAGCAGAUCUCAGGUUGGGUUUUCAGCAAAAGCUAUCCAUUGGGAUCCACCUGUUCUUGUAAUUGGCCAAUGAGAAAACGUGAAUUUUCUUUAAGGACGAUAGGCGUGGAAAAACUGCAAUACGAACCACAACGACUUUAAUUAAACGAAAGGACGAUAGGUCUCUCCUUCUAGGCUUCGGCAUAUUUUGAUUCAUCUUUCUUCUUGCAGAUGAUAUCUUCAGUUCAAUCCUUCUCGUGCAUGUUUUUGAGGUAUGUCUUAUAGCAAAAGGAGUAAAAAUUAUCAAACCAUUCAUUGCUUAAGACAUAUAACUGAGAAUAGGAGAUUGUUCACCUCAUUAAAUAUCAAGGAUGAAAGAAAAAUUCAUGUCGGUUGCAACUCCAAAAUGAAGAAGAUUUAAGCAUUAAAUCAAAUCAAAUAAUUCUUCAUUCAACAAAAGAGUUUGGGAUAAUCAACCUAUCUCAAUGAAGUGCCUAAUGUUUCUCAAAUUAAGAAGCAUGUGCUUUUGAUUGAAAUAUGAAUUGAUUAAUUUUAUAAAUGUGUUUAUGAAAUUCAAAAUGGUAAAUUUGUUGCAUUAGAUAAUUGUUUGAUUGUUGGUGUUUAUGAAAAUGUUUAUAUGCACACUGAUACAUAUAAUCUAAUGCAUAGCGCAAAUCCGAACCAAAUCAAUUUGAACUUGUGUUUGAAAUUGAUUGAAAGUUGGUAUACAUAAAAUUUCCUAAGGAAAGAUGAAGAUGUCAAAGGUUUGUAUCCAAAUUUUGGAGGUCUAUGUCGCUCCUGUUGGUGGUUGGUGCGGUGCUGCCUUAGGUUAGUUUUAUCCUCCUUGAACAUGUGGGUUUUGGAAGUGGCUGGACGGUUUUGUCUAAUUGUGGUGUUGCAAUGAUUAAAAUAACUGUUAGAUCUAUAUUGCUGCAUUGAUUAAAAUAUAAUGGUGCAUGACGUGUGACGCAUAUAAAUCUAUAGAAUGAGUUGUGUGUUAUUCUUGGUAGCAAGCUUUGUUCUGGAGUCGAAAUUACCGGUUUUGUUUAUGUUCCUGUUGGGUUUGGUUGGUAAGGUGGAGGAUGCCUAGGUGGAUUUAAUGUUAUAUAUGGCUGGUCUUGGAGAAGGCUACUUAUGAGAAGCUAGGAAGUGUUUUCUCAUAAUGACUGCUGCCUUGGUAUGCCGUGCAUGGAUAUCUUCUCUGUCUUGCCUUGAUCGCCAUAUCCCGUUAAGGUACUUUGUCCUCGCCUGGUUCCGCCUUGGAGGCUGGUUCGGUUUGGAAUUAUCGGAACACAUGAACUUAGCUUUUAUAUAUGUAAUGUUAGCUGCUGGAUUAAUUGUUAGGCAGCAUGAUUCUCAGUCCUUGUGUUUGUUUAAUAUAAUACAAGGGUGAGACUGUACAUGUUUUCGCUUCCUUGAACUCUCUCUUGCCAUAAAAUCAGAUAGAAAUACUAGAAGUUCUUGGGUCCUAUUUUUAAGGUUUAUUUCAAUUAGAAGACUCAAGAUGUAUCUUUUUGUA